UAGGGAGACCAUCUGAUCAUCGACCGAACCUAAACAAUAGGUCAAUAUCAGUCAUCCCUGGUCGUUCGAGGUAUAGAUGUCAAAGCUUUCAAACUAUUAACUGGUUCGGAACUCGCGGGCUAUUAGCUCAGUUGGUUAGAGCGCACCCCUGAUAAGGGUGAGGUCCCUGGUUCAAAUCCAGGAUGGCCCACCUGGAAAAAAGUGAUGGAUUUUAAGUAAUGAGUAAUGGAUAAUGAAUGAUUAAUUCAGGAUUAAUUCAGGACUCAGACAAUCAAAAUCAGAACUUGCUUAGUGGGGGUAUAGCUCAGUUGGUAGAGCGCCUGCCUUGCACGCAGGAAGUCAGCGGUUCGAGUCCGCUUACCUCCACUCUCACUAACUAGAACCAACAAAAAAACACCAAAAGAAAUAGAAAUCAGCACCCAGACUAACUUUAUCAAAAUCAAAGAAGUCGGAAUGCUGGAGUCGAGAACUCUAGUCAGAACCUUGAAAACUGCAUAGAAAUUAAGUCAUCAAAGCGUGUCUGUCAUCCGAGCAAUCGGAGCAUCUGACAAGCGACAACCAUGAAAAAAUAAGU
rnacentral:tRNA from 1 species